AAGACACAAUCGGCAUAAAUGGCAUUUAUACCGGCUCACUGGUAUUGCUCUAAGAAUUAUGGAUUCUGAGAAACACAAGAUGGAGACAUUGGGAAGGAGCUGUUGUGUAGCUAACAUGAGAGCACCAUGGAAAACAGCACCAUGCUUGAGACACAGUGGGCAUUCAACAGAUGCUGUAUCUGAUUGGGAAGCCAGGGAUAUCAGCUCUGAAAUAGAUUCUCCUUCUCGGGCCACAAGCAACACAGCUGACGAUGUAUCAACAGCCUAUUGAUGAGUUAACAGUUACAUCGCCUUCCUUAUAGAAAGAAGCCUGGAUUUUAUUCACAGAGUGUUUGAGCAUUGGACUCCCUGAAGGCCGAAUCUGAGAUAAGACUGGUGUGUGUAUGUUUAUGUGUGAGUCGACCCAGGGAAAGUGAGUCAGAGGAGGAUGGAUUAUCAGGGUGACCACUGUGACCUGGACCCCCUCCCCCUCAUUCCCCCGGACCUUCCAGGAAAUGUGCAGAGGGCCUUGAUGGUUGGGAUGCAGAAGCAUUUUCACACGGCUUUCCAUCCUGCCCAGAGCACAUUUUUCUUUCUGAACCGACCAUGUCCACCCGCUGAGUCAGCACCCACCAGUAUACUUCAGGAAAGUGGGGGAGAGAAAGCAGCUGCUUGAAACAGAAGCAAGAGGUUGGCCAGGACCAGCUAAAAGUUGGCAGUGCAGAGGUGAAUGCAAACUGAAGAGGUGUCCUCUUUGUCUAUAAAUGAUUAAGAAUUUCAAGGUGGCAUCAGCCCUUCUUAAAUGAGUGGUCACAUGCUCCAAGAAGCCAACCCUCACUCCGGCCCUGGUUGAGAUUCAAAGUAAGACCAGCGACCAUAAAUGUCAUACACUGGCGGAGGUGUACCCUGCAUGGAGGUUGAACUGAAAUGGGCCUGAACCUAUCAAUGCGAUCUCAUUCCCUUCCUAUAGUGAUUGGCUGGGAAGCCUACUCAAGGAUGCUCAAGGAUGCUAUGUGCCGAGAGGCAGGCCAUAUAAAGAUUUUUUUUUGCUUCUUUCUCUCUGUGCUGCUAUAAAUGCUGUCCUAUGGUGGGAACUAUGUGUAGCCAUGAGUUGUCACUGAGAACAGAGCUGUGGAAAAGGAUGAGGCUGGGGACAUUGAAGAAUUCUAAGAAGCUCGUCCACCCCAAGAGCAUCUUUUGUAUCAAUGAAGAUUAAUAACUAGUAUAAGGGCAAAGUCACCAGCAACUAGAAGCAUUCCUAACUUUUACGAACCUCCUCUCAUGGGUGCAUCCCCAUGCUCCUGGAGUCAUGUGUCUGUCUGUAGGCUGACUUUGAUUAGGGCAGGGCAGACACAAGUUAAAGAAGCAAAUUGUCAGUGUCAUUGAGCCAAUGAGAGCCACACUAGAGUCACCUUCACUCUCUGUAGAACCUGUGUCCUUCGCCUCUAAACCAUUUCCAGUGUUCUUCAUGGAGAGGAACAGUAGGAGCAGGAAUAACCACUGAUUCCCUCUGCCCCCCAGGAGGUGACUUAAGUUGCAAUUGGAUUUUAUUGUGUAUGGAUUGAAUUAUUGAAGUUCUGUAGGGGAUACUGGUCCAUUUGCCUGCCUCAAAUUCCCUCUGUCUGGCAGAGGACUCUGCCUGACUUUAAGAAAUUGUUUGGCCUCCUGUGUGUAGCCUUGGUGAAACCAAUUCAGAGCCAAAGAACCUGGAUCUCCCUUGGCAAAGGUUUGGGCGCCAAUCCAGAGGCCAAUUGCAUUCUUUCUCUAGGAAGCAUUAAUCCAAACAGCAAAGCUCUGAAUGGACUAUCCACUCGUGUGGAUUCUGCUUUGUCCUGGGUUCCUGAAGGUCAAGAGUCUAGGAUCUAUCUCAGUUCUCAUUACGUGCAGAUACACAGGCACACACAUACAUGCAUAGCACACUCACACACAGACACAUGCUCACACAAAUACAAGCAUGUACACAUGCACACACUCAGUCAGAUACACAUGCAUGCAAACUAUGGACUCACACAUACAGGCGCGUGUACACACAUACACACACACACAUACACACAGAGUUUCUCUCUCUUUUUCUCAUACCUGUGCCACCAAAGAAUCAAAAAACAAACUUCAAAUCUGAAAUUUAAAGGAAGCAGAAAAGGUUGAUUUAUAAACCAACCCUUUUCAUUUUUUGGGUACCCUCAUGUUAGUGGAAGGCAUGGCAGGACACUGAUUGCGAAACUGGCCCCAGUUGCCCUGACUUCCCUUUGCAAUGUGACUUUUAGUCCCUAGCCAUAUAAAAAUGGAGUCUAUUGUCUA